rnacentral:rRNA from 1 species
GGGUUGUGAGGUUAAGCGACUAAGCGUACACGGUGGAUGCCCUGGCAGUCAGAGGCGAUGAAGGACGUGCUAAUCUGCGAAAAGCGUCGGUAAGGUGAUAUGAACCGUUAUAACCGGCGAUGUCCGAAUGGGGAAACCCAGUGUGAUUCGUCACACUAUCGUUAACUGAAUACAUAGGUUAACGAGGCGAACCGGGGGAACUGAAACAUCUAAGUACCCCGAGGAAAAGAAAUCAACCGAGAUUCCCCCAGUAGCGGCGAGCGAACGGGGAGCAGCCCAGAGUCUGAAUCAGCUUGUGUGUUAGUGGAACGGUCUGGAAAGUCCGACGGUACAGGGUGAUAGUCCCGUACACCAAAAUGCACAGGUUGUGAACUCGAAGAGUAGGGCGGGACACGUGGUAUCCUGUCUGAAUAUGGGGGGACCAUCCUCCAAGGCUAAAUACUCCUGACUGACCGAUAGUGAACCAGUACCGUGAGGGAAAGGCGAAAAGAACCCCGGCGAGGGGAGUGAAAAAGAACCUGAAACCGUGUACGUACAAGCAGUGGGAGCACCUUCGGGUGUGACUGCGUACCUUUUGUAUAAUGGGUCAGCGACUUAUAUUCUGUAGCAAGGUUAACCGUAUAGGGGAGCCGCAGGGAAACCGAGUCUUAACUGGGCGUUAAGUUGCAGGGUAUAGACCCGAAACCCGGUGAUCUAGCCAUGGGCAGGUUGAAGGUUGGGUAACACUAACUGGAGGACCGAACCGACUAAUGUUGAAAAAUUAGCGGAUGACUUGUGGCUGGGGGUGAAAGGCCAAUCAAACCGGGAGAUAGCUGGUUCUCCCCGAAAGCUAUUUAGGUAGCGCCUCGUGAACUCAUCUUCGGGGGUAGAGCACUGUUUCGGCUAGGGGGUCAUCCCGACUUACCAACCCGAUGCAAACUACGAAUACCGAAGAAUGUUAUCACGGGAGACACACGGCGGGUGCUAACGUCCGUCGUGAAGAGGGAAACAACCCAGACCGCCAGCUAAGGUCCCAAAGUCAUGGUUAAGUGGGAAACGAUGUGGGAAGGCACAGACAGCCAGGAUGUUGGCUUAGAAGCAGCCAUCAUUUAAAGAAAGCGUAAUAGCUCACUGGUCGAGUCGGCCUGCGCGGAAGAUGUAACGGGGCUAAACCAUGCACCGAAGCUGCGGCAGCGACACUAUGUGUUGUUGGGUAGGGGAGCGUUCUGUAAGCCUGCGAAGGUGACCUGUGAGGGUUGCUGGAGGUAUCAGAAGUGCGAAUGCUGACAUAAGUAACGAUAAAGCGGGUGAAAAGCCCGCUCGCCGGAAGACCAAGGGUUCCUGUCCAACGUUAAUCGGGGCAGGGUGAGUCGACCCCUAAGGCGAGGCCGAAAGGCGUAGUCGAUGGGAAACAGGUUAAUAUUCCUGUACUUGGUGUUACUGCGAAGGGGGGACGGAGAAGGCUAUGUUAGCCGGGCGACGGUUGUCCCGGUUUAAGCAUGUAGGCUGGUUAUCCAGGCAAAUCCGGAUAAUCAAGGCUGAGGUGUGAUGACGAGGCACUACGGUGCUGAAGUAACAAAUGCCCUGCUUCCAGGAAAAGCCUCUAAGCAUCAGGUAACAUCAAAUCGUACCCCAAACCGACACAGGUGGUCAGGUAGAGAAUACCAAGGCGCUUGAGAGAACUCGGGUGAAGGAACUAGGCAAAAUGGUGCCGUAACUUCGGGAGAAGGCACGCUGGUGUGUAGGUGAAGUCCCUGCGGAUGGAGCUGAGACCAGUCGAAGAUACCAGCUGGCUGCAACUGUUUAUUAAAAACACAGCACUGUGCAAACACGAAAGUGGACGUAUACGGUGUGACGCCUGCCCGGUGCCGGAAGGUUAAUUGAUGGGGUUAUCCGUAAGGAGAAGCUCUUGAUCGAAGCCCCGGUAAACGGCGGCCGUAACUAUAACGGUCCUAAGGUAGCGAAAUUCCUUGUCGGGUAAGUUCCGACCUGCACGAAUGGCGUAAUGAUGGCCAGGCUGUCUCCACCCGAGACUCAGUGAAAUUGAACUCGCUGUGAAGAUGCAGUGUACCCGCGGCAAGACGGAAAGACCCCGUGAACCUUUACUAUAGCUUGACACUGAACAUUGAGCCUUGAUGUGUAGGAUAGGUGGGAGGCUUUGAAGCGUGGACGCCAGUCUGCGUGGAGCCAACCUUGAAAUACCACCCUUUAAUGUUUGAUGUUCUAACGUUGGCCCCUGACCGGGGUUGCGGACAGUGUCUGGUGGGUAGUUUGACUGGGGCGGUCUCCUCCCAAAGCGUAACGGAGGAGCACGAAGGUUAGCUAAUCCUGGUCGGACAUCAGGAGGUUAGUGCAAUGGCAUAAGCUAGCUUGACUGCGAGCGUGACGGCGCGAGCAGGUGCGAAAGCAGGUCAUAGUGAUCCGGUGGUUCUGAAUGGAAGGGCCAUCGCUCAACGGAUAAAAGGUACUCCGGGGAUAACAGGCUGAUACCGCCCAAGAGUUCAUAUCGACGGCGGUGUUUGGCACCUCGAUGUCGGCUCAUCACAUCCUGGGGCUGAAGUAGGUCCCAAGGGUAUGGCUGUUCGCCAUUUAAAGUGGUACGCGAGCUGGGUUUAGAACGUCGUGAGACAGUUCGGUCCCUAUCUGCCGUGGGCGCUGGAGAAUUGAGGGGGGCUGCUCCUAGUACGAGAGGACCGGAGUGGACGCAUCACUGGUGUUCGGGUUGUCAUGCCAAUGGCACUGCCCGGUAGCUAAAUGCGGAAGAGAUAAGUGCUGAAAGCAUCUAAGCACGAAACUUGCCCCGAGAUGAGUUCUCCCUGAGACUAUAAGUCUCCUGAAGGAACGUUGAAGACGACGACGUUGAUAGGCCGGGUGUGUAAGCGCAGCGAUGCGUUGAGCUAACCGGUACUAAUGAACCGUGAGGCUUAACCUUACAACGCCGAAG